GAGAGUGCAAAGCUUCUCCCAAAAUCUCAGCAACCUGAGCCUGCAACCAACGCCCAACCCUAACGGAACGGAAAAUAAAUCCCCAUUGGCUGAUUUCUGUUGGCUUUUUGCUGCUAACACUAGCCACUCCAGCCGCUAAGCCGACUUCUAGCCUUCAAUUUCAAAGGUAAAUUUUUUAAUUCCUAAAUUUAUAAUCCCUAACCCUAAUUAAUUAUUUAAUACGAAUUUUGUUUAAUUAGUAUAGAAUGAUAUGGUAAUGCACUAAUAUGGUUAUUGAUUAUUGAUUAUUGAUAUGAUUCUAUGAUUAUUGAUUGAUAUGAAAUUAUGAAAUUAUUUUUAGGGUGAAAAUUAAAAUUUGAAUUUUUGAUUAGUUGUAUUCAUAUGAUUAGUUGAAUGAAUAUUUUAUUUAUUUAAUAAUUUAUAUGCUUAUUGGUAUUGAUUAAUUGAAUUGUUGGUUGGGUUAUUAUGCAUAUUAGUAUAGACUAUAGGAUUAAGAGUCUAAGAUUUUUUUUUCUUUCCAUUUUACAGUUACGUAAUGGAACGGUACUAUAAGAAACAAUGCUUAAAUCCUCCUUCAAACAUUUCGGGUAGUCCUUCUCCUUCAAAUAUUCCAAGUAGUCAUCCUCCUCCUCCUUCAAAUAUAAGAAAUCCUCCUUUGAAUAUUCUGAGUAGUUCACAACAAAGUGAGCCCACUGAGUUGGAUGAGAUAUUGGCUAAUCUUCAUGCAGACCCUGGAUAUAGACGUCGAAUGCUUGAUUAUCCACCUAAUUAUCGUGAAGCAAUUCGUAGACACUAUCUCCAAAAUGAUCCUUGUCAACCUAGAGACCACAUUAUGCCAAGAAAAGUUAGCAACAAAAGAUGUUUUAUCACCGGUUGGUUUGAUAGGUUUAAGUGGUUGGAGUAUAGUAUAUCAAAGGAUGCUGCAUUUUGUCGUUAUUGCUAUCUUUUCAAAUGUGAUUUCGAUCAAAUGGGUAGCAUUGGAAAUGAUGUCUUCACCGAGAAAGGGUUUACAAAUUGGAGGAAAGGACCCGAAAAUCUUCGAGCCCAUGAGGGAGGUGUUGGAAGUCUUCAUAAUAAAGCUGUACAAUAAGCUAGAGAUUUGAUGACACAAAAACAACACAUUGAAACAUUUGUGAUUAAGCAAACCGAUGAAGCUCGCAAUAAUUAUCAUACUUUAUUGAGAGCCUCACUUGAGUGCACAAGAUGGUUGUUGGGACAAGGUUUGCCUUUUCGUGGUCACGAUGAAUCGUUGAAAUCAAGCAAUAGAGGUAAUUAUUUGGAGCUUAUGCACUUUCUUUCCAAGCAUAAUGAGCAAGUUAGGAAGGUUGUGUUUGAGAAUGCUCCCAAGAAUCUUAAGUAUACUUCUUCUGAUAUUCAAAAAGAUCUUGUCUGUGCUUGUGCCAUUGAAACUAUAAAUGCAAUCACUAAAGAUAUGGAAGGUGAAUUUUUUUCUCUUUUGGUUGAUGGAUCACGUGACUCUUCAACUAAAGAGCAAAUGACGGUGGUAUUGCGUUAUGUGAACAAAAAAGGAGAAGCAAUUGAAAAGUUUUUGGGUGUGCAACAUGUCUUCUCUACAACUAGUAGCUCGCUUGAAGAGGCUAUUGAGAGAUUCUUUGCUACAACAAAUUUGAGUAUGUCCAAGUUACGAGGACAGGGCUAUGAUGGAGCUAGUAAUAUGAAAGGUGAGCUAAAUGGCCUUAAAACAAAGAUUUUGAACAAAUAUCCUCAAGCAUUUUAUGUUCAUUGUUUUGCACACCAACUUCAACUAGCUCUUGUAGCCGUUGUCGCCAUUUUCUUCAACAAUGCUAGUAUUUUGGUCAAUACAAUUGGAUCAUCGUGUAAGCGUCGUGAUGCAUUUAGAGAGAAACAACAAGAACAAAUUAAGAAAGCUCUUGAUAUUGGUGAUCUUGAAACGGGUAGAGGGUUAAAUCAAGAGAAUAGUCUCAUGCGUCCUUGUGAUACACGUUGGAACUCACAUUAUGGUACUAUAGUUAGUAUUAUUGUCAUGUUUGAAGCCGUGGUGGAGGUGCUUGAAUGGAUUAAAGAUGAUACCAACCAAGAUAAUUUUGGUGAAACAAGUCAUUUAUUCCAUAACAUACAAACUUUUGAUUUUGUGUUUCACCUUUUUUUGAUGAGACUCAUAUUGGGAGUUACAAAUGAGUUAUCACAAGCAUUACAAAAGAAAGAUCAAGAUAUUGUGAAUGCAAUGGCGUUAGUGGAAGUAUGCAAGCAAAGACUACAAUCCUUGAGAGAUGAUGACUUUGGGGACUUGCUUGAUGAUGUACAAAAGUUUUGUCAAGAGCAUGAUAUUGUCGUUCCUAACAUGGAGGAUUUGCAUUUUGUACCUGGAAAAUCAAGGCGUAAAGCUCCAAGACUCACAAACUUCCAUUACUAUCGUGUGGACCUCUAUUUUCAAGUCCUUGAUACACAAUUAAAGGAAUUGAAUGAUCGCUUCAAUGAGGUAAACACCGAGUUGCUUCUUUGUAUGGCAUGUUUGAGUCCGGUGAAUAAUUUUGCAUCUUUUGACAAAGCAAAAAUUGUUCGUCUAGCUCAACUUUAUCCUCAAGAUUUUGAUCGUAUGUACCUCAUGAAUCUUCCAAUUCAACUUGACAAUUACAUUCACGAUAUGAAGAUGCAUAGUGAGUUUUCAUCAUUGAGAGGAAUUGGUGAUCUUGCAAAGAAGUUGGUGAAGACUGGGAGGUGUGCAAGCUACAUAUUAGUGUAUAAGCUUCUUACAUUGGCUUUGGUGUUACCGGUUGCAACCGCUUCGGUGGAGAGAGCUUUUUCUGCUAUGAAGAUUGUGAAAACACCAUUGCGUAACAAAAUGGGAGAUCAAUGGUUGAGUGAUAGCAUGCUUGUUUACAUAGAGAGAGAUGUAUUUGCUUUUAUUGAUAAUGAGCCUAUUAUGCGACGUUUUCAUGGUAUGAAACGUCGUCGGCAACAAUUGUAAUUUGUUUAUGUUGAUAAAUUAUGGAAGACAUUACUAUAUAAAAUGAUUUGGUUGUUGCUAUUCUUUUGAACCUUCACUCUUUUAACUUCGCCCCUCCCCCUGUCAAUUCCUGGCUUCGCCACUGAAUGCAGUGUCAUGAAAUUGUUAUUAUAUAAUUACAUAUAUACAUAUACAUAUAUAUAUAUGAAUUAUAGAUUACUAUAUAUAUUGACGUGUAAAGCAAAGUCCAGGGUAGAUGAUCACAUGGUGACUGAGGAGCACUCACACAUGGGACUUGAUCAGCCAAACGGCCAAGACAAAAUCGUCUGAGAUUUCAUAUUAUCCGCCGUAUCCUCUGCUGCUGCUGCAACAGUGCCGGUGGGCUCUCGAUGUCUCAAGAUUUUAGGCUUAAGUAACAUUGCUUAAUUAGCUGCUAGAUUAAUUGUGCAUGCAAUCUCAUAUCCAAUCACAUCAAUAAAUUGCAAUCCCCAUUUGUUUUUUUUUCCUUAAGUCAAUGCCACAUUGACACUAAUUUUAUUUGUAUCUUCAUUUGUUCUGUGUGUGUACACACACCUUUAAUGGCGGAUUAAUUAGGCGACAUAUUUUGGUCUCGGGACCUCAAAAAAUGGUCUGAAAGGUUAUACGGGACUUUACAAAGGUCUGUAUAAAUGAUUGUUUUAUUUUUCCAUUGAGAGAUGUUGCGAGGAUCACUCGACAUAUGUCUACCUUGCCUCAUCAAAUGUCAAUAGGCCCCCGAGUGUUUGAAAAACUAUUGAUAUAUUUUGUUCCUUCAAUAUCUCUCGUCUAGUUAGUAUUGAAACAACCACAAAACUUGAAUGUUUGUAUUUUUUAGCUGCUAUAUAUAUUUCUAAUCACGUGAUAUGUCGGAUUUCUUCUAGCAUACGUAUCUCAUGACCCAGCCACAUUUAUAGUGUUGAAGCUUUAUUGCAAUUUAAAUACUUUGAAGCAUUUAU
rnacentral:lncRNA from 1 species